GAGCAGUGGAUCACUCGGCUCGCGGUCGAUGAAGAACGCAGCCAGCUGCGAGAUUUGGUGUGAAUUGCAGAACACUCAGAUCACUGAUUAUUCGAACGCACAUUGCGGCUCCCGCUCCUCUGCGGGAGCCUCGCCUGUCUGAGGGUC
rnacentral:rRNA from 1 species